GAUGGUGCUGUUAGAGAGAGGGUCAUACCCAGCUCCAUUCCGAACCUGGAAGUCAAGCCUCCCAUCGCCGAUAAUACUGCAGGCUACGUUUGUGGAAAUGUAGGUCAGUGCCAUCU
rnacentral:rRNA from 1 species